rnacentral:rRNA from 1 species
UACGUAGGGUGCGAGCGUUAAUCGGAAUUACUGGGCGUAAAGUGUGCGCAGGCGGCCGAGCAAGUCGAGUGUGAAAGCCCCGAGCUUAACUUGGGAAUUGCGCUCGAAACUACUUGGCUGGAGUGUGGCAGAGGAAGGUGGAAUUCCAGGUGUAGCGGUGAAAUGCGUAGAGAUCUGGAGGAACACCGAUGGCGAAGGCAGCCUUCUGGGCCAACACUGACGCUCAUGCACGAAAGCGUGGGAGCAAACAGG